GACGAACGCUGGCGGCGUGCUUAACACAUGCAAGCCGAACGAUGAUGCCCAGCUUGCUGGGUGGAUUAGUGGCGAACGGGUGAGUAACACGUGAGUAACCUGCCCCUGACUCUGGGAUAAGCGUUGGAAACGACGUCUAAUACUGGAUAUGACUGCCGGCCGCAUGGUCUGGUGGUGGAAAGAUUUUUUGGUUGGGGAUGGACUCGCGGCCGAUCAGCUUGUUGGUGAGGUAAUGGCUCACCAAGGCGACGACGGGUAGCCGGCCUGAGGGUGACCGGCCACACUGGGACUGAGACACGGCCCAGACUCCUACGGGAGGCAGCAGUGGGGAAUAUUGCACAAUGGGCGAAAGCCUGAUGCAGCAACGCCGCGUGAGGGGUGACGGCCUUCGGGUUGUAAACCUCUUUUAGUAGGGAAGAAGCGAAAGUGACGGUACCUGCAGAAAAAGCACCGGCUAACUACGUGCCAGCAGCCGCGGUAA
rnacentral:rRNA from 1 species